GACGAACGCUGGCGGCGUGCUUAACACAUGCAAGUCGAACGGAAAGGCCCUGCUUUUGUGGGGUGCUCGAGUGGCGAACGGGUGAGUAACACGUGAGUAACCUGCCCUUGACUUUGGGAUAACUUCAGGAAACUGGGGCUAAUACCGGAUAGGAGCUCCUGCUGCAUGGUGGGGGUUGGAAAGUUUCGGCGGUUGGGGAUGGACUCGCGGCUUAUCAGCUUGUUGGUGGGGUAGUGGCUUACCAAGGCUUUGACGGGUAGCCGGCCUGAGAGGGUGACCGGCCACAUUGGGACUGAGAUACGGCCCAGACUCCUACGGGAGGCAGCAGUGGGGAAUAUUGCACAAUGGGCGGAAGCCUGAUGCAGCAACGCCGCGUGCGGGAUGACGGCCUUCGGGUUGUAAACCGCUUUCGCCUGUGACGAAGCGUGAGUGACGGUAAUGGGUAAAGAAGCACCGGCUAACUACGUGCCAGCAGCCGCGGUGAUACGUAGGGUGCGAGCGUUGUCCGGAUUUAUUGGGCGUAAAGGGCUCGUAGGUGGUUGAUCGCGUCGGAAGUGUAAUCUUGGGGCUUAACCCUGAGCGUGCUUUCGAUACGGGUUGACUUGAGGAAGGUAGGGGAGAAUGGAAUUCCUGGUGGAGCGGUGGAAUGCGCAGAUAUCAGGAGGAACACCAGUGGCGAAGGCGGUUCUCUGGGCCUUUCCUGACGCUGAGGAGCGAAAGCGUGGGGAGCGAACAGGCUUAGAUACCCUGGUAGUCCACGCUGUAAACGGUGGGUACUAGGUGUGGGGUCCAUUCCACGGGUUCCGUGCCGUAGCUAACGCUUUAAGUACCCCGCCUGGGGAGUACGGCCGCAAGGCUAAAACUCAAAGGAAUUGACGGGGCCCCGCACAAGCGGCGGAGCAUGCGGAUUAAUUCGAUGCAACGCGUAGAACCUUACCUGGGUUUGACAUGGAUCGGGAGUGCUCAGAGAUGGGUGUGCCUCUUUUGGGGUCGGUUCACAGGUGGUGCAUGCCUGUCGUCAGCUCGUGUCGUGAGAUGUUGGGUUAAGUCCCGCAACGAGCGCAACCCUUGUUCACUGUUGCCAGCACGUUAUGGUGGGGACUCAGUGGAGACCGCCGGGGUCAACUCGGAGGAAGGUGGGGAUGACGUCAAGUCCUCAUGCCCUUUAUGUCCAGGGCUUCACGCAUGCUACAAUGGCUGGUACAGAGAGUGGCGAGCCUGUGAGGGUGAGCGAAUCUCGGAAAGCCGGUCUCAGUUCGGAUUGGGGUCUGCAACUCGACCUCAUGAAGUCGGAGUCGCUAGUAAUCGCAGAUCAGCAACGCUGCGGUGAAUACGUUCCCGGGGCU
rnacentral:rRNA from 1 species